CUCCCUGGCAGCCGCCGGCCGCAGCGGGGGCUCCCGGCGCUUACCCGGCUGCAGAGGGCGAGGAGGACCACGAAGGCGACGCGGACGGGGCCCAUACUGGCGGCGGUCAUGGUUCAAGCGAGUCUCCUGCCUCAGCCUCCUGAGUAGCUGGGACUACACGUGUGUGCCACCAUGCCUGGGUAUUUCCUAUAUCUUCCUGUCUUUUCCAUGGCCAAAAAUGAUCAAGUAAAGAACAUUAAAGAAGAAAUAAAUUACUACAUAUUAAAAAAUACAUACUGUAAGAUGUUCUUUGUACAAAAAUGUGACAACUUCAAUAAGAGUAACUUGGACAACCUGAGGCAUUAAUUGAGGAUCAAUAUGAUGACUUUACAUUGAGAAUCACAUAUACCCUCUGAAUAAAUUUAAAAAAUGAAAUUUUUUAAUUUUCAUUAAAAAUUAAAUUUUUUUGAGUGAUGAAAAUACUCAAUCACAUUAUUUUCAAAUUGUUGAUAAGCAUGGAAAUUAUCAGAGAACCAGAAUAUUCAAGGUUUAUCUUUCCUGUUUUUGUCUUAAAUCACAACUAUGUGUUAAAUAAUUUGUAUGACCUAUUUCAGUGGCAGUAGGUUAAAUAAAAUUCUGUUUGUAUCUCC
rnacentral:lncRNA from 1 species